rnacentral:miRNA from 1 species
CCUCCAGAUGUUUUGGGACUACAAUUCCCAUCAUCCCUUACCAAUGGUCCUGUUAGCUAGGGAUGAUGGGAGUUGUAGUCCCAAGACAUCUGGAGG